rnacentral:rRNA from 1 species
CCUACGGGAGGCAGCAGUGGGGAAUAUUGCGCAAUGGGCGAAAGCCUGACGCAGCGACGCCGCGUGAGGGAUGAAGGUCUUCGGAUCGUAAACCUCUGUCAGCAGGGAAGAACGGUCACUGUGCUAAUCAGCAGUGAAUUGACGGUACCUGCAAAGGAAGCACCGGCUAACUCCGUGCCAGCAGCUGCGGUAAUACGGAGGGUGCGAGCGUUAAUUGGAAUUACUGGGCGUAAAGCGCUCGUAGGCGGUAUGUCAAGUCAAGGGUGAAAUCCCCGCGCUCAACGUGGGAACUGCCUUUGAAACUGGCAAGCUAGAGUGUGUGAGAGGAAAGUGGAAUUCCAGGUGUAGGGGUGAAAUCAGUAGAUAUCUGGAGGAACACCGGUGGCGAAGGCGACUAUCUGGCACAUAACUGACGCUGAGGAGCGAAAGCGUGGGUAGCAAACAGGAUUAGAUACCCGUGUAGUC